rnacentral:lncRNA from 1 species
AAUCAUAUUAAAGGGAAACUUCGCAAAAAAAUCAAAAAUUAAUAUUAUGUCCAUUCUGUAUAAAAAUGCUCAAAUUUAUAGAUAUUAAAGUUUUAUUCCGCUAAAUAAGAGAUCACCAUCGAUUUUAAAUUUUGAGUAUCAGUUCUCUGUGCUCCGCCAUUUUGUCACCUUCUCCGAUGAAAAAUCCCGAUAUGUCUAUAAACCACAAAGGAACAAAACUACAGUAAACGAUGUAGUCGUAAUUGCGUGUCGAUAUCUUGUCAAUCGUACGGUUGUUUUAUCUGACUGACUAACUUGAUACGGAAAAUGGUCUUAUUUUUUUAAAUAACCAUAUAGUCUGUUAUUUUUAAACUGAUUAUAUUGUAAUUAGUUAAAAAGUCAAAGUUCAAAUCAUAAAUAAGUGUUCCGUGGAAAUUGUUGUCGAAAAUCUAAUUCGUUCAUAAUUCUUAAAAGUAAUAAACUUUAUUUAAAUAAAUUCGGAUCUUCCCUCAUCUGAUCACCAGCAUGGCUAAAGGUAUUACUCCCAAAGGUAUUGGAAGGGGUGUAAGGUGACACGUCCAGGUAUUCAAUCGAUUUCCUGUCCGGCGGGCUUGCAAGUUCAUGCAUCGUUUCACUUCUGUAGGUAUUGAUCAGUGUACACGACCGUAACUUAUAACUUUCCAUUUUGAACUAUCAGGUGCAUGUAUAAUAUACAUUUUUGUUUUGCGUGUCCGAAAGUGAUAUAAUAUACUAGUCAUUACUGAACUCAUACGCUUGUUUAUAAAUAACAUUUCUGGUGUAAAGAAUAUUAUUUAUAAAAAAAAAAUAAUACAAAACAAAAAAUUUGAAGAACUACAAAUCUAUUUACAUAUUUUUCCAAGGGUUAAUUUGGGAAAAUACUCGUUGUCAAUAGUUUAGGACAGAUUGGAACAUACCAGAAUUAUUGAUUUAAAAAAAUGUGCACACUUGUCGACGAUUCGUGUAUACAUACGCCUGGGUAGAAAGUUACGGAACUAUAGUCAGUAGCGCAAUUUAAAAUAUGUAUACAUGUAUACAUUGAACAUAAGAAAGAAACAUACAUUUUGUGUAAAUUGUGGUAAAAGUUUUGUAAAUAGACUAGUCCACGUAUGCCAACAGUAUGUAAUCAACGAAUUCGGUAGACUAUUGUAUACCAAAAGAAGAAGAAGAAAAAAAGAAACAAUUUGAUUUAAAUAAUACAGGUCAAUUUAUAACUUGCUUUGGUUCAUCGAAGUUAAGAACAUAGUAAACUCACAGAUUUAUAUAUCCAAUUAGAUUGUUCUCGAAUAAAGGACGAAAUUCGUCAUCAUCACAAUUGUUCCGACAUUCAUGUAAAAUAUAUGCAACUGGACGUACACUAAUAAUCCCCAAGGGAUGUGAAUAUUUUCUAGGAAAACUAUUGAGUAUCAAUUUCGGGAUUUUUUUUCUUUCUUGAUAUUCAAUGACAGCAAUUUAAAGAAUAAACUGCUUGUCGGAUAUUUGUCCGCUUUAGGGGUAUUCUUGCAAGUUGAACAGACA